rnacentral:lncRNA from 1 species
AAUAGGAUUGGGGAUAUGGCCCAGUGGUUGAGUGUCCAUGAGUUUAAUCCCUGGUAUCCUUCGCCCCCCAAAAUUAUAUUUACCUUCAUUUUCAAUAUAGUCUGUGGUGAUGGAAGUAUCUAGCACAAGGAAUUCUGCUUUGGUUUUUAUGUGUCCCAUUUGUUAAAUAUUGUGGGAAUCAUUUUUUUAAGUUUUCAUAUCUUAAAUGGAACCAGUCAAUUCCUGUGGGUUCAGAUUUGACCUAGAGAUAAACUGGCCUAGCCAUAAUUCUCAUUAAAACCAUGUUGUACAAUGAGGGAUUUGACUGGGCAAAUUAUCCCUUGUUCCUGGGAGACAACCUCUAAAUCCUUGGAAUUCCUCAAGUGAUGAAGGUGUUAGUAUUCAUGAUCAUCCCCUAGGGAGUUUCAGGGCUGAAGCUGGCCAUGCUAGAAAGACCAUAGAAUUGGAUCUUUGAGCCACAUGCUAUCAGUCCAGCCUCUAAGGAAAGGAGGUAAGCAAU